GAUGAACGCUGGCGGCGUGCCUAAUACAUGCAAGUCGAACGCAGAAGGAGGAGCUUGCUUCCUCGGAUGAGUUGCGAACGGGUGAGUAACGCGUAGGUAACCUGCAUGGUAGCGGGGGAUAACACUUGGAAAAGAUAGCUAAUACCGCAUAAGAGUAGUUGUCGCAUGACAUUCGCUUAAAAGGUGCAACUGUACCACUACCAGAUGGACCUGCGUGGUAUUAGCUGGUUGGUGAGGAAAUGGCUCACCAAGGCAACGAUCCUUAGCGGCCCUGGUAGGGUGAUCGGCCACACUGGAACUGGGACCGGGCCAAGAUCCCUCCGGGAGGAACAAUAAGGGAACUUCCGGAAAGGGCGGAAAGCCUGCCGGAGCAAGGCGGGGGGGGUGAGGAAGUUUUCCGGUCGGAAAGCCCUGGUUAAAAGGGAAGACGAGAGUGGGAAUUAAAUGUGCACGUUGUGACGGUACCUUACCAGAAAGCGACGGCUAACUACGUG
rnacentral:rRNA from 1 species